rnacentral:rRNA from 1 species
GCUCAGGACGAACGCUGGCGGCGCGCCUAACACAUGCAAGUCGAACGAGCGAGAGAGAGCUUGCUUUCUCAAGCGAGUGGCGAACGGGUGAGUAACGCGUGAGGAACCUGCCUCAAAGAGGGGGACAACAGUUGGAAACGACUGCUAAUACCGCAUAAGCCCACGACCCGGCAUCGGGUAGAGGGAAAAGGAGCAAUCCGCUUUGAGAUGGCCUCGCGUCCGAUUAGCUAGUUGGUGAGGUAAUGGCCCACCAAGGCGACGAUCGGUAGCCGGACUGAGAGGUUGAACGGCCACAUUGGGACUGAGACACGGCCCAGACUCCUACGGGAGGCAGCAGUA